AUUUCCGCAAUGGGGAAUUUUCCGCAAUGGGCGAAAGCCUGACGGAGCAACGCCGCGUGAGGGAUGAAGGCCUCUGGGCUGUAAACCUCUUUUAUCAAGGAAGAAGAUCUGACGGUACUUGAUGAAUAAGCCACGGCUAAUUCCGUGCCAGCAGCCGCGGUAAUACGGGAGUGGCAAGCGUUAUCCGGAAUUAUUGGGCGUAAAGCGUCCGCAGGCGGCCUGACAAGUCUGCUGUUAAAGCGUUGAGCUUAACUCCAUUUCAGCAGUGGAAACUGUCAGGCUUGAGUGUGGUAGGGGCAGAGGGAAUUCCCGGUGUAGCGGUGAAAUGCGUAGAUAUCGGGAAGAACACCAGUGGCGAAAGCGCUCUGCUGGGCCAUCACUGACGCUCAUGGACGAAAGCCAGGGGAGCGAAUGGGAUUAGAUACCCCUGUAGUCAAU
rnacentral:rRNA from 1 species